GCACCCGUGGUGUAGUGGUUUUGCAUUUCUGUCUUAUAGUGUGUCUAUUUACGUGGACUCUCUAUGCUAGCAAUCAGAAGGUCGUGAGUUCAAUCCUCACCGGGUGCA